GGUUGUUAUAGGUCUCCUUGCCUCUGCCACUGAUUACAUACAAUUGAUCAUGUUGUGACGAUAUUCAAGAUUCGUCAACUAUUACUCAUCAUCUAAGGAGUCGCAUCGAGAUCUCUGGCCAACUCUUUCAAUCUAUUCAUCACCUUAUUGAGCUCUCUAGUGCGCCAGUUAACUCGAUGGCCUAAUCAGACUAGCUCUUAGUGGUAACAAUGGGAAGAUAUUUAUAUCUAAUAAAUUCUUCAUGCUUAAACCCACAACUAUUAUUUAAUCAAACUUCAAAUAUCCAUAUAUACAUGUGCAUCCACUUUAAAAAAAAUUGACUUUGUUCUAGUAAAUGGUCCACUCCAUUCAGAUAAUGAAGAGACCAAGAUGUACAGGAAGGUUGGCACUAGGUCAACCAAGAAAAAAAAAAAUAUGAAUUUGCAAAAUUACAUGCUUUGUCUCUUUCAGGAUAAAAACUCUUCUUCCAUUUGAGUUGCACCAAGAUCUUUUAUGAUAUUCCAUAUUACUUAGUAAGAAGUGCUAGAGAUAAUGCUGAGCCUACCUUGUUGUUGAGUCCAAGUACGCUGCCGAGUUUUACUUGGUUUUGGGUGUUGGAAUCUAGAAGACCGGGAAGUGAUUACAAAAGUGACUUAAAAAAAAACUAAUUGAUAUGUAGCUAAACAAGAAAAUAGAGGAAACAAAUAGAGAUAUUUUUGUAUCUGGAAUCGAAAUAUUGUCUAUAUAUAGGCUUACACAGAA
rnacentral:lncRNA from 1 species